CACCCGAUCCCAUCCCGAACUCGGAAGUGAAACGCAGCUGCGCCGAUGGUAGUGUGGCUCAAGCCAUGCGAGAGUAGGUCAUCGCCAGGG
rnacentral:rRNA from 3 species